AGCGAACGCUGGCGGCAGGCUUAACACAUGCAAGUCGAGCGGGCACUUUCGGGUGUCAGCGGCGGACGGGUGAGUAACGCGUGGGAACGUGCCCUCUGGUUCGGAAUAACUCAAGGAAGCUUGAGCUAAUACCGGAUACGCCCUUUUGGGGAAAGGCUUGCUGCCGGAGGAUCGGCCCGCGUCUGAUUAGCUAGUUGGUGAGGUAACGGCUCACCAAGGCGACGAUCAGUAGCUGGUCUGAGAGGAUGAUCAGCCACACUGGGACUGAGACACGGCCCAGACUCCUACGGGAGGCAGCAGUGGGGAAUAUUGGACAAUGGGCGCAAGCCUGAUCCAGCCAUGCCGCGUGAGUGAUGAAGGCCUUAGGGUUGUAAAGCUCUUUUAUCCGGGACGAUAAUGACGGUACCGGAGGAAUAAGCCCCGGCUAACUUCGUG
rnacentral:rRNA from 1 species